CAGCAGCCGCGCGGUAAUACGGAGGGAGCUAGCGUUGUUCGGAAUUACUGGGCGUAAAGCGCGCGUAGGCGGUUACUCAAGUCAGAGGUGAAAGCCCGGGGCUCAACCCCGGAACUGCCUUUGAAACUAGGUGACUAGAAUCUUGGAGAGGUCAGUGGAAUUCCGAGUGUAGAGGUGAAAUUCGUAGAUAUUCGGAAGAACACCAGUGGCGAAGGCGACUGACUGGACAAGUAUUGACGCUGAGGUGCGAAAGCGUGGGGAGCAAACAGGAUUAGAUACCCCAGUAGUCCCUGUCUCUUAU
rnacentral:rRNA from 1 species